UACAGAGGUCUCGAGCGUUAGGCGGAAUCACUGGGCUUAAAGCGUGUGUAGGCGGAUCGGUAAGUACCUUGUGAAAUCCCACAGCUUAACUGUGGAACUGCUUGGUAUACUGCCAGUCUUGAGCCAGCUAGGGGCUACCGGAACAAAUGGUGGAGCGGUGAAAUGCGUAGAUAUCAUUUGGAACGCCAAUGGUGAAAACAGGUAGCUGGGGCUGUGCUGACGCUGAGACACGAAAGCCAGGGGAGCGAACGGG
rnacentral:rRNA from 1 species